rnacentral:rRNA from 1 species
GACGAACGCUGGCGGCGUGCCUAAUACAUGCAAGUCGAGCGAAUCAUUGGGAGCUUGCUCCCGGUGGUUAGCGGCGGACGGGUGAGUAACACGUGGGCAACCUGCCUGUAAGACUGGGAUAACACCGGGAAACCGGUGCUAAUACCGGAUAAUCCUUUCCCUCUCAUGAGGGGAAGCUGAAAGUCGGUUUCGUCUGACACUUACAGAUGGGCCCGCGGCGCAUUAGCUAGUUGGUGAGGUAACGGCUCACCAAGGCGACGAUGCGUAGCCGACCUGAGAGGGUGAUCGGCCACACUGGGACUGAGACACGGCCCAGACUCCUACGGGAGGCAGCAGUAGGGAAUCUUCCACAAUGGACGGAAGUCUGAUGGAGCAACGCCACGUGAGCGAUGAAGGCCUUCGGGUCGUAAAGCUCUGUUGUUAGGGAAGAACAAGUACCGGAGUAACUGCCGGUACCUUGACGGUACCUAACCAGAAAGCCACGGCUAACUACGUGCCAGCAGCCGCCGUAAUAC